rnacentral:misc_RNA from 1 species
AGCAGCCGCGGUAAUUCCAGCUCCAAUAGCGUAUAUUAAAGUUGUUGCAGUUAAAAAGCUCGUAGUUGAAUUUCGGGAUCAGUUGGUCGGUCGUGCCUCGGUACGUACUGGUCAAAUUGAUUCCUACCUUCUGACGAACCACGAUGUCAUUAAUUUGGUGUCGCGGGAAAUCAGGACUGUUACUUUGAAAAAAUUAGAGUGUUUAAAGCAGGCUCGCGCUUGAAUACAUUAGCAUGGAAUAAUGAAAUAGGACGUUUGAUUCUAUUUUGUUGGUUUCUAGGAUCGACGUAAUGAUUAAUAGGGAUAGUUGGGGGCAUUAGUAUUCAAUUGUCAGAGGUGAAAUUCUUGGAUUUAUUGAAGACUAACUACUGCGAAAGCAUUUGCCAAGGAUGUUUUCAUUAAUCAAGAACGAAAGUUAGGGGAUCGAAGACGAUCAGAUACCGUCGUAGUCUUAACCAUAAACUAUGCCGACUAGGGAUCGGAUGAUGUUAAUUUUUUAAUGUACUCAUUCGGCGCCUUA